GUGACGGUAUAUUUCGUAUCAUUGUUUUGAAAAGCAUUUUUAAUCCCGUGUAUCAUUGUUUGAACAGCAUUUUAAAUCAUGUUUCUGUGUGAUUUCAGUAGAGGAUGCUUCUUGCAGCACCACCACAGAGGUCCUGAGUUCAACAGAAAUAUCUGCAGAUCCUGUUGAUGAAUUCCCAAUUCAAUGCACAAAACCAAGAAGGAAAAGAAUGAAACAGGUCCAGGACUUCUUUAGAGGAGUGAGCCAGACAAUCAGACGACCUCUCAGCAGAGGAUUCCAUUCCAGCUGAAUCCACGAUGCUGAUUCAUUUUCAUUUUAAGUUCUAUUUAGCAAUUAAACAUUGUCAACGAGCAUCUCGAUCCGGAAGACGAGGAGAUUCUUCUUACAGUUACCAGCAGCUUCUUUGUUUAUUAAAUAAAUAAAUUGUUCAAUAAAGACGUGAACUGUA